GAUGAACGCUGGCGGCGUGCCUAAUACAUGCAAGUCGAGCGAACAGACGAGGAGCUUGCUCCUCUCACGUUAGCGGCGGACGGGUGAGUAACACGUGGAUAACCUAACUAUACGACUGGGAUAACUUCGGGAAACCGGCGCUAAUACCGGAUAAUAUAUUCAACCGCAUGGUUCUAUAGUGAUAGACGCUUCUGCGGUCACUUAUAGACGGAUCCGCGCCGCAUUAGCUAGUUGGUAAGGUAACGGCUUACCAAGGCAACGAUGCCUAGCCGACCUGAGAGGGUGAUCGGACACACGGGAACGGAGACUCGGUCCAGACCACUGCGGGAGGCAGCAGUAGGGAAUCUGCCGCAAAGGGCGCAGGCCUGACGCAGCACCGCCGCGUGAGUCAUGAAGGUCUUCGGAUCGUAAAACUCUGUUAUUAGGGAAGAACAAGUGUGUAAGUAACUAUGCACGUCUUGACGGUACCUAAUCAGAAAGCCACGGCUAACUACGUG
rnacentral:rRNA from 1 species